rnacentral:rRNA from 1 species
CAGCCGUAAACUAUGCUCGCUAGGUGUCAGGCAUGGCGCGACCGUGUCUGGUGCCGCAGGGAAGCCGUGAAGCGAGCCACCUGGGAAGUACGGCCGCAAGGCUGAAACUUAAAGGAAUUGGCGGGGGAGCACAACAACGGGUGGAGCCUGCGGUUUAAUUGGGCUCAACGCCGGGAAGCUCACCGGAUAAGACAGCGGAAUAAUUGCCGGGCUGAAGACUCUGCAUGACUAGCUGAGAGGAGGUGCAUGGCGUAGACGUCU